rnacentral:rRNA from 1 species
GACGUAGCGAGCGAGCGUUGUCCGGAAUCACUGGGCUUAAAGGGCGCGUAGGCGGCUUUGUAAGUCCGUGGUGAAAUCCCACAGCUCAACUGGGGAACUGCAUUGGAAACCGUCUGGCUAGAGUCCGGAAGAGGAGAGUGGAAUUCCCGGUGUAGCGGUGAAAUGCGCAGAUAUCAGGAAGAACACCUAUGGCGAAGGCAGCACGCUGGGACGGAACUGACGCUGAGACGCGAAAGCGUGGGGAGCGAACAGG